AAAAUGAGCUUAGUUCUGUCAUAAACCUGAAAUGAAAAAUGACUUCAUGAAACAGUUGCAGAAAUACUAGGCAAAACACAGGACCCUGCCUAUGCUGCCUACAUUGCUGUGAGAUCCACAGACAGUACUAAACAGGAAAUAAAAGAGGUUGAGGAGGAACGCGGUGAGGUAGAAGCUGCUGAAGAUACAACUGAAAAAGCUCAAGAUAUUGUGGACGUUACAACGGAGGAAGGGAGGGUUGAAACGGCUUGGGACAGCUCUGAUGUCACAGUUGAAGACGAUGAGGCUGCCUCCGAUGUCAUGGAGGAGGAUAAAACUGCUGGAACAGUUGAAGAUAUUGCAGAUGUUACAGAGGAGGAACCUUCUGUUAUGCAAGAAGACAUAGAUGAGAAAAUAGAACCUGAAAAGUUUGAAGAUAUCUCAGAUUUUGCAGAGGAUAAAUCAACUGAAACGACAUCUGAUGCUACAGAUGUGAAAGAUGUUGACGCUGCCUCAGAUGUUGUUAAAGAGGAGGAAGAAGUUGCUGAAAGAGUUGAAGACGCAGAUGUAACAGAGGAGAAACCAUCAGAUAUACCAGAAGUCACAGAUGAGGAAACAGUGACUGAAAAGGCUGAAGAUAUCUCAGAUUUCGCAGAGGACAAAUCAACUGAAAUUACUGAAUCUGAUGCUACAGAUAUGAAAAACAUUGACGAUACCUCAGAUGUCGUUACAGAGGAAGAAGAAGUUACUGAAACAGUUGAAGAUGUAGAUUUUACAGUGGAGGAAACAUCUGAUAUUCCAGAAGUAAUAGAUGAGGAAAUAGCAACAGAAAAGUUUGAAGAUAUCUCAGAUUUUAAAGAGGACGAAUCAGCUGAAAAGACCUCUGAUGUGACAGAAGACAUUGAUGCUGUUACAGAGGAGGCAGUAGUUACUGAAACCGCUGAAGAUAUUCCAGAUGUUACAGAGGAGGAAACAUAUGACAUUCCAGAAGUCAUAGAUGAGGAAUUAGCAACUGAAAAGGCUGAUGAUACAUUUGACUCCAUAGAGGACGAGUCAACUAUGAUAACCUCUGAUGUGACAGAAGACACUGAUUAUACCUCAGAUGUUGUUACAGAGGGAGAAGUUACUAAAUCAGUUGAAGAUAUUGCAGAUGUUACAGAGGAACCAUCUGAUAUGCCAGAAGUCAUCGACAUUGAUGAUACCUCAGAUCAAGAUACCGCUGCAGUUAUAGAGGAGAAAGAAUCAACUGAAACAAUUGAAGAAGCAGCAAUUGAAACAGCAGAAGGUGAGGAAGAAGAACCUGAGACAGAUGAAGAUGCCAGCACUGAAGAAACAGCCGAAGAUUCAGUAGAAAAAGAACAGCUACCUGAAUUGGCUGAAGCUACUCCAGAUACCAUCUGUGUAAAGGAAAAGACUGAAGCAACAGAACUUGAUGAUCUUGAAGUCCGGGGUAAAGAUGACAUGAAAGUGGAAGGCAAGGAGGAGAAGGAAGAUGUGGCAAUUGCUGAUGCUGAAAAGGGCACAAAGAAGUACAAGUUUCUAUAUAUAAAACUAGAGAGAGC
rnacentral:lncRNA from 1 species